CUAUAUAUCUCAUUGUACAGGAGACGUCUUCUAGUUUGGAUCUGACCCUCCAGAAACAUCAAGAUGAUUUCUCCCAGUUAUCUGCUGGCUGUCAUCUUCAUUUCUAUUCAGGGAUCCUGUGGAGAGAUUGUGAUGACUCAGACUCCGGAUUCUAGCUCUGUGUCCCCGGGACAGACAGUCACCAUCACAUGUACAUCCAGUACUGACCUAACUAAACAUAAUUUGAUUAGAGCUAGGUAUAUUAGCUAUUUAGCCUGGUACCAACAAAAGUCCCAACAACCUCCAAAGCUUCUUAUCUAUCAGGCCAGCACUCGGCAAUCCGGGAUCCCGGACAGGUUCAGUGGUUCAGGAUCUGGAACUGAAUUUAAACUAACUAUCUCCAGAAUGACUGAAGAUGAUGAAGCGAGGUAUUAUUGUCAGCAGUAUCUCUCCAACCCUCUCACACGGUGAUACAGAGCCGUACAA